UAAGCAGCUUGGUUUGAAGAAAUCAACUGUGGGAGCACAAUGGUUUGUUUUAUUUAUUUUUUACAAUUUAUUUUUGUAUCAGACAUAUUUCAAUAUCUUAGAUUGUCAAUAGAUAUUGCUUUCCUACCCCCUCCUCCAGGUUUGGUGAAUGGACCAACCAGACCCUCAAGACUGCCAUGGGCAAGUCCCUUGAUUGGUACCAGGAAGGGUGGGCAAACAACCUGAAGGUAAUUCUCUUUGCACACAACAGCAGCAUCCAGGUCUCCACCGAGUACGGACAGGAGCCGCAGCUGUUGACUCAGAUCACUGGAACCCGAGCUGAUGUGGUGGAAGCUGUCAAAUCAGAUUAGAACGCCUUCAAGGACCACCUUCAGGCACGGACUAAGAAGGAUGUGGAGGUUUUUGACCAGUCAAGGUGGACUGAACAUCAACAAGGCGCAGGAGAAACAGAAGGAGAGCUACCGGAGCAGAAUCAAGCACAGGAGCAAGUGCUACGACAUCCAAGCGAAUUACUUGGUUUGGAAGAAGAACGAAAGGAAGGCGAGACCUGGGAAACCUCGUUGUUCUUUCACUCCUAGCUGGGGUCACCAUCUGUUAAAGUGAAUAUAAAAAAUCUCAGAUAAUAACUAUUUUCAUUUGCACACAAAAUAACCUGAAGCUUGUUUUAGUUUCCCUAACACUGAUAUUUUUCUGGCUCUAUCAUACUGGGCACGUAAUAUGUGAGAUGCAAAGAUUAACUAAAAACACUAGCACUGCAAAAAAGUGAGCAGCAGUGCCCAGACUUUGCAGCCUCCCUAUUCAAUUUCCCCUUCCAAGACUGGCUGCCUGUUGAGAAGUGACCGGCAGAACCUCCCACCCACACAGCAACCACCUCCUCUAUAUUCCACACUCCAGAAUUCAGUAUUUUAGUCUGAUUGCCAUGUGAAUGUACAAAAAAAUCUGAAAAUAAAUUCCUGACACAACUGUACCAAAAAAUAUAAACAUUUAUGUAUAAAAAUAUUAAAUAUUGCCAGGUUGGU